GAUGAACGCUGGCGGCGUGCCUAAUACGUGCAAGUCGAGCGAACGGACGAGAAGCUUGCUUCUCUGAUGUUAGCGGCGGACGGGUGAGUAACACGUGGAUAACCUACCUAUAAGACUGGGAUAACUUCGGGAAACCGGAGCUAAUACCGGAUGAUAUUUUGAACCGCAUGGUUCAAAAGUGAAAGACGGUCUUGCUGUCACUUAUAGAUGGAUCCGCGCUGCAUUAGCUAGUUGGUAAGGUAACGGCUUACCAAGGCAACGAUGCAUAGCCGACCUGAGAGGGUGAUCGGCCACACUGGAACUGAGACACGGUCCAGACUCCUACGGGAGGCAGCAGUAGGGAAUCUUCCGCGAUGGGCGAAAGCCUGACGGAGCAACGCCGCGUGAGUGAUGAAGGUCUUCGGAUCGUAAAACUCUGUUAUUAGGGAAGAACAUAUGUGUAAGUAACUGUGCACAUCUUGACGGUACCUAAUCAGAAAGCCACGGCUAACUACGUG
rnacentral:rRNA from 1 species